CCAAUAGCGUAUAUUAAAGUUGUUGCAGUUAAAAAGCUCGUAGUUGAAUUUCGGGGUCAGUAGGUUGGUCGUGCCACCGGUAUGCACUGGUCUCACUGAUUCCUCCUUCUUGUAGAACCGUAAUGCCAUUCAGUUGGUGUUGCGGGGAAACAGGACUGUUACUUUGAAAAAAUUAGAGUGUUUAAAGCAGGCUAACGCUUGACUACAUUAGCAUGGAAUAAUGAAAUAGGACGUUCGAUCCUAUUUUGUUGGUUUCUAGGAUUGACGUAAUAAUUAAUAGGGAUAGUUGGGGGCAUUAGUAUUCAAUUGUCAGAGGUGAAAUUCUUGGAUUUAUUGAAGACUGACUACUGCGAAAGCAUUUGCCAAGGAUGUUUUCCUUAAUCAAGAACGAAAGUUAGGGGAUCGAAGACGAUCAGAUACCGUCGUAGUCUUAACCAUAAACUAUGCCGACUAGGGAUCGGAUGAUGUUAAUUUUUUAAUGACUCAUUCGGCGCCUUACG
rnacentral:rRNA from 1 species